rnacentral:rRNA from 1 species
GUCGAGCGAAUGGAUUAAGAGCUUGCUCUUAUGAAGUUAGCGGCGGACGGGUGAGUAACACGUGGGUAACCUGCCCAUAAGACUGGGAUAACUCCGGGAAACCGGGGCUAAUACCGGAUAACAUUUUGAACUGCAUGGUUCGAAAUUGAAAGGCGGCUUCGGCUGUCACUUAUGGAUGGACCCGCGUCGCAUUAGCUAGUUGGUGAGGUAACGGCUCACCAAGGCAACGAUGCGUAGCCGACCUGAGAGGGUGAUCGGCCACACUGGGACUGAGACACGGCCCAGACUCCUACGGGAGGCAGCAGUAGGGAAUCUUCCGCAAUGGACGAAAGUCUGACGGAGCAACGCCGCGUGAGUGAUGAAGGCUUUCGGGUCGUAAAACUCUGUUGUUAGGGAAGAACAAGUGCUAGUUGAAUAAGCUGGCACCUUGACGGUACCUAACCAGAAAGCCACGGCUAACUACGUGCCAGCAGCCGCGGUAAUACGUAGGUGGCAAGCGUUAUCCGGAAUUAUUGGGCGUAAAGCGCGCGCAGGUGGUUUCUUAAGUCUGAUGUGAAAGCCCACGGCUCAACCGUGGAGGGUCAUUGGAAACUGGGAGACUUGAGUGCAGAAGAGGAAAGUGGAAUUCCAUGUGUAGCGGUGAAAUGCGUAGAGAUAUGGAGGAACACCAGUGGCGAAGGCGACUUUCUGGUCUGUAACUGACACUGAGGCGCGAA